UACGUAGGGUGCAAGCGUUGUCCGGAAUUAUUGGGCGUAAAGCGCGUGUAGGCGGUCCGGUAAGUCCGCUGUGAAAGUCCAGGGCUCAACCCUGGGAUGCCGGUGGAUACUGUCGGGCUCGAGUCCGGAAGAGGCGAGUGGAAUUCCUGGUGUAGCGGUGAAAUGCGCAGAUAUCAGGAGGAACACCAAUGGCGAAGGCAGCUCGCUGGGACGUGACUGACGUUGAGACGCGAAAGCGUGGGGAGCAAACAGG
rnacentral:rRNA from 1 species